GACUCUCGGCAACGGAUAUCUCGGCUCUCGCAUCGAUGAAGAACGUAGCGAAAUGCGAUACCUGGUGUGAAUUGCAGAAUCCCGCGAACCAUCGAGUCUUUGAACGCAAGUUGCGCCCGAGGCCAUUCGGCCGAGGGCACGCCUGCCUGGGCGUCA
rnacentral:rRNA from 12 species